rnacentral:rRNA from 1 species
AAAUUGAAGAGUUUGAUCAUGGCUCAGAUUGAACGCUGGCGGCAGGCCUAACACAUGCAAGUCGAACGGUAACAGGAAACAGCUUGCUGUUUCGCUGACGAGUGGCGGACGGGUGAGUAAUGUCUGGGAAACUGCCCGAUGGAGGGGGAUAACUACUGGAAACGGUAGCUAAUACCGCAUAACGUCGCAAGACCAAAGAGGGGGACCUUCGGGCCUCUUGCCAUCGGAUGUGCC